rnacentral:rRNA from 1 species
CCUACGGGAGGCAGCAGUAGGGAAUCUUUCACAAUGGGCGAAAGCCUGAUGGAGCAACGCCGCGUGCAGGAUGAAGGCCUUCGGGUUGUAAACUGCUUUUAUAAGCGAGAAAUGUGAUGGUAACUUAUGAAUAAGGAUCGGCUAACUACGUGCCAGCAGCCGCGGUCAUACGUAGGAUCCGAGCAUUAUCCGGAGUGACUGGGUGUAAAGAGUUGCGUAGGUGGCAUAAUAAGUAGCUAGUGAAAUCUGGUGGCUCAACCAUUCAGACUAUUAGCUAAACUGUUAAGCUCGAGACCGUUAGGGGUAACUGGAAUUUCUAGUGUAGGAGUGAAAUCCGUAGAUAUUAGAAGGAACACCAAUAGCGUAGGCAGGUUGCUGGGACGGUUCUGACACUAAGGCACGAAAGCGUAGGGAGCAAACGGGAUUAGAUACCCCAGUAGUC